CCUACGGGGGACUGCAGUGAGGAAUAUUGGUCAAUGGACGAGAGUCUGAACCAGCCAAGUAGCGUGAAGGAUGACUGCCCUAUGGGUUGUAAACUUCUUUUAUAUGGGAAUAAAACGUUCCACGUGUGGGAUUUUGUAUGUACCAUAUGAAUAAGGAUCGGCUAACUCCGUGCCAGCAGCCGCGGUAAUACGGAGGAUCCGAGCGUUAUCCGGAUUUAUUGGGUUUAAAGGGAGCGUAGGUGGAUUGUUAAGUCAGUUGUGAAAGUUUGCGGCUCAACCGUAAAAUUGCAGUUGAAACUGGCAGUCUUGAGUACAGUAGAGGUGGGCGGAAUUCGUGGUGUAGCGGUGAAAUGCUUAGAUAUCACGAAGAACUCCGAUUGCGAAGGCAGUUCACUGGACUGCAACUGACACUGAGGCUCGAAAGUGUGGGUAUCAAACAGGAUUAGAUACCCUGGUAGUC
rnacentral:rRNA from 1 species